AUUGAACGCUGGCGGCAUGCCUUACACAUGCAAGUCGAACGGCAGCACGGGAGCAAUCCUGGUGGCGAGUGGCGAACGGGUGAGUAAAGUAUCGGAACGUGCCCAGUCGUGGGGGAUAACGUAGCGAAAGUUACGCUAAUACCGCAUACGAUCUAUGGAUGAAAGCGGGGGAUCGCAGGACCUCGCGCGAUUGGAGCGGCCGAUAUCAGAUUAGGUAGUUGGUGGGGUAAAGGCUCACCAAGCCGACGAUCUGUAGCUGGUCUGAGAGGACGACCAGACACACUGGGACUGAGACACGGCCCAGACUCCUACGGGAGGCAGCAGUGGGGAAUUUUGGACAAUGGGCGAAAGCCUGAUCCAGCCAUGCCGCGUGCAGGAUGAAGGCCUUCGGGUUGUAAACUGCUUUUGUACGGAACGAAAAGGUUUGGCCUAAUAAGCUGAGCUCAUGACGGUACCGUAAGAAUAAGCACCGGCUAACUACGUGCCAGCCGCCGCCGUAACAC
rnacentral:rRNA from 1 species